rnacentral:lncRNA from 1 species
AGCAAAUUCACAUUUUGACUGACUGUAUUUACUACCUCAGUACUAACCCCAAGGCCAAAGAUGCUUGUGUAUGUGUCUGCAAGUACUAAAGAGUGAGACUCUCUUGACGGAGAUGGCACAUGGCCCUUUUUCUACAAUUUUUCCAUUGGAAAUGGGAAUGUGCACCAGAGAACAAUGGAAAAUUAGUUCUAUCUACAAAAACAACAUUAAAACAUGGAUUGUGUGAUGCUGGAAGCAGUCUUUGUGGUGGUGCAUGUUUUGGAAAGCUCUGAAGAACGUGUGUAGCUAUUUCAGUGUUUUGUCUGCUUGGAAACAAACCAUCGGGGCCUCCUCAUGGAAUUCCCCCGGAACUGAGCUGAGCUCACACAUCUGUCACAGUGCAGCUGGCAUCAUCCAGACCCUGAGAGUACUUGGGGUACAACUUCCUGGAGCAAGAGAAUUCACUUUAGAGGGACAGAGUGGCCUUUCUUUUUUCAGUAAAAACAAGCAAUUGCCUCAAUCAAUGCCAAAGCACUACCGGUACAGGAACUGAGGGGGAUCAGAAGCAGCAAGAGCAAAGCUGCUUCUGUUCCCUCUUGCUAUUUCCUAUUGUCUAUUUAUAUUUUUUUCACAGCAGAAUGUAUAUUUUGUAUAGCAUAUGUAAUAUAUGUUUGUCCAUUGUAAUAUAUGUCCAAACAAUAAAAUGCUGUAUACAUUGAGCA